AUUGAACGCUGGCGGCAGGCCUAACACAUGCAAGUCGAGCGGAUGAAGGGAGCUUGCUCCUGGAUUCAGCGGCGGACGGGUGAGUAAUGCCUAGGAAUCUGCCUGGUAGUGGGGGAUAACGUCCGGAAACGGGCGCUAAUACCGCAUACGUCCUGAGGGAGAAAGUGGGGGAUCUUCGGACCUCACGCUAUCAGAUGAGCCUAGGUCGGAUUAGCUAGUUGGUGGGGUAAAGGCCUACCAAGGCGACGAUCCGUAACUGGUCUGAGAGGAUGAUCAGUCACACUGGAACUGAGACACGGGCCAGACUCCUACGGGAGGCAGCAGUGGGGAAUAUUGGACGAUGGGCGAAAGCCUGAUCCAGCCAUGCCGCGUGUGUGAAGAAGGUCUUCGGAUUGUAAAGCACUUUAAGUUGGGAGGAAGGGCAGUAAGUUAAUACCUUGCUGUUUUGACGUUACCAACAGAAUAAGCACCGGCUAACUUCGUG
rnacentral:rRNA from 1 species